rnacentral:rRNA from 1 species
GGCUGAAAUUGCCUUCAUGGAGCCGGAAUUGCUAGUAAUGGCAGGUCAGCAUACUGCCGUGAAUACGUUCCCGGGCCUUGUACACACCGCCCGUCACACCAUGAGAGUUGGGGAUACCCGAAGCCUGUGAGCUAACUAUUUAUAGGAGCAGCAGUCGAAGGUAGAAUCAAUGAUUGGGGUGAAGUCGUAACAAGGUACC